GGGGAAUCUUGCGCAAUGGGCGAAAGCCUGACGCAGCGACGCCGCGUGGGUGAUGAAGGCCCUCGGGUUGUAAAGCCCUGUGGGGAGGAACGAACCGUUCGGGGGUGAAUAUCCUCCGGGCUUGACGGUACCUCCUUAGCAAGCAUCGGCUAACUCUGUGCCAGCAGCCGCGGUAAGACAGAGGAUGCGAACGUUGCUCGGAAUUACUGGGCGUAAAGCGCGCGCAGGUUGCCUUGUAAGUCGUGUGUGAAAUCCCUCUGCUCAACGGAGGAAGUGCACGGGAUACUGCAAGGCUGGAGUACAGAAGAGGACAGCGGAAUUCCCGGUGUAGAGGUGAAAUUCGUAGAUAUCGGGAGGAACACCAGUGGCGAAGGCGGCUGUCUGGGCUGAUACUGACACUGAGGCGCGAAAGCGUGGGAAGCAAAC
rnacentral:rRNA from 1 species